GUUAAGCGACUAAGCGUACACGGUGGAUGCCCUGGCAGUCAGAGGCGAUGAAGGACGUGCUAAUCUGCGAUAAGCGUCGGUAAGGUGAUAUGAACCGUUAUAACCGGCGAUUUCCGAAUGGGGAAACCCAGUGUGUUUCGACACACUAUCAUUAACUGAAUCCAUAGGUUAAUGAGGCGAACCGGGGGAACUGAAACAUCUAAGUACCCCGAGGAAAAGAAAUCAACCGAGAUUCCCCCAGUAGCGGCGAGCGAACGGGGAG
rnacentral:rRNA from 1 species